rnacentral:rRNA from 1 species
CGACGAACUCUGGUAUUGAUUGGUGCUUGCAUCAUGAUUUACAUUUGAGUGAGUGGCGAACUGGUGAGUAACACGUGGGAAACCUGCCCAGAAGCGGGGGAUAACACCUGGAAACAGAUGCUAAUACCGCAUAACAACUUGGACCGCAUGGUCCGAGUUUGAAAGAUGGCUUCGGCUAUCACUUUUGGAUGGUCCCGCGGCGUAUUAGCUAGAUGGUGGGGUAACGGCUCACCAUGGCAAUGAUACGUAGCCGACCUGAGAGGGUAAUCGGCCACAUUGGGACUGAGACACGGCCCAAACUCCUACGGGAGGCAGCAGUAGGGAAUCUUCCACAAUGGACGAAAGUCUGAUGGAGCAACGCCGCGUGAGUGAAGAAGGGUUUCGGCUCGUAAAACUCUGUUGUUAAAGAAGAACAUAUCUGAGAGUAACUGUUCAGGUAUUGACGGUAUUUAACCAGAAAGCCACGGCUAACUACGUGCCAGCAGCCGCGGUAAUACGUAGGUGGCAAGCGUUGUCCGGAUUUAUUGGGCGUAAAGCGAGCGCAGGCGGUUUUUUAAGUCUGAUGUGAAAGCCUUCGGCUCAACCGAAGAAGUGCAUCGGAAACUGGGAAACUUGAGUGCAGAAGAGGACAGUGGAACUCCAUGUGUAGCGGUGAAAUGCGUAGAUAUAUGGAAGAACACCAGUGGCGAAGGCGGCUGUCUGGUCUGUAACUGACGCUGAGGCUCGAAAGUAUGGGUAGCAAACAGGAUUAGAUACCCUGGUAGUCCAUACCGUAAACGAUGAAUGCUAAGUGUUGGAGGGUUUCCGCCCUUUCAGUGCU